rnacentral:rRNA from 1 species
ACGAACGCUGGCGGCGUGGAUAAGACAUGAAGUCGAACGGGAUUUUUUCCUGUAGCAAUACAGGAAAAAGUCUAGUGGCGAACGGGUGCGUAACACGUGAGCAACCUGCCGUGAAGUGGGGGAUAGCUCGCCGAAAGGCGAAUUAAUACCGCAUGUGGCCAAGGAAGACAUCUUCCUGACGCCAAAGCCGGGGUAACCUGGCGCUUCUCGAGGGGCUCGCGGCCUAUCAGCUUGUUGGUGAGGUAACGGCUCACCAAGGCUAUGACGGGUAGCUGGUCUGAGAGGACGACCAGCCACACUGGAACUGAGACACGGUCCAGACACCUACGGGUGGCAGCAGUCGAGAAUUUUUCACAAUGGGGGAAACCCUGAUGGAGCGACGCCGCGUGGAGGAUGAAGGUUUUCGGAUUGUAAACUCCUGUCAUUAGAGAACAAGGCACAUGGUUUAACUGGCCGUGUGUUGAUAGUAUCUGAAGAGGAAGGGACGGCUAACUCUGUGCCAGCAGCCGCGGUAAUACAGAGGUCUCAAGCGUUGUUCGGAUUCAUUGGGCGUAAAGGGUGCGUAGGUGGCGAGGUAAGUCGGAUGUGAAAUCUCCAAGCUCAACUUGGAAACUGCAUUCGAUACUGCUUUGCUAGAGGAUUGUAGAGGGCAUUGGAAUUCACGGUGUAGCAGUGAAAUGCGUAGAUAUCGUGAGGAAGACCAGUGGCGAAGGCGAAUGCCUGGGGCAAUUCCUGACACUGAGGCACGAAGGCCAGGGGAGCAAACGGGAGUUAGAUACCCCCGGUAGUCCUGGCAGUAAACGGUGCACGUUUUGGUGUGGGAAGGAUUUCGACCCCCUUCCGUUCCCGGAGCUUAACGCGUUUAAACGUGCCGCCUGGGGAGUACCGGUCGCAAGAUUUAAAACUCAAAAGAAAUUGACGGGGGACCCCGCACAAGCGGUGGAGUAAUGUGGCUUAAUUCGAUGCAACGCGAAGAACCUUACCUGGCCUUGACAUGCAUCUCUAAUCCGGUGAAAGCCGGUGAGUGUAAGCAAAUACACAAUUUGCACAGGUGCUGCAUGGCUGUCGUCAGCUCGUGUCGUGAGAUGUUGGGUUAAGUCCCGCAACGAGCGCAACCCCUGUGAACUGUUGCCAUGGAGACGUGAGUCUCCGGCACUCUGUUCAGACUGCCCUGUUCAACGGGGAGGAAGGUGGGGACGACGUCAAGUCAGUAUGGCCCUUACGGCCAGGGCUGCACACGUACUACAAUGCCCGACACAGAAGGAUCCGAGACCGCAAGGUGGAGGAAAUCACCAAAGUCGGGCCCAGUUCGGAUUGGAGGCUGCAACUCGCCUCCAUGAAGCCGGAAUCGCUAGUAAUGGCGCAUCAGCUACGGCGCCGUGAAUACGUUCCCGGGUCUUGUACACACCGCCCGUCACAUCAUGGGAGUCGUUUGUACCCGAAGUGCGCGCGCCAACCGCAAGGAGGCAACAAACCUAAGGUAUGAGCGGUAACUGGGAUGA